UGGUGAUAAGAAAUACUAGAGAAUGAAAAGUGACAUGGGACAUGGAAACCAGGCGGUUCAGUCUUUUGAGAAGACAGAAGCAGCAAAGAAAAUAAAUACUAUGACACCACAAUCCCUAGUUACCAAGAAAUAUUGCAUGAAUACUAAAAUUGCUUGGGCAGAUGGAAAAGAGGCCCUUUGUCGGAUCUUGUCUUCCAGUCAAUUUUGAAUCAAGAAAGACCCAUUGAUGACUCCUUUGAGAAGAGUCUGUUUUGAGGAAGAAGGAAAUACAUUUGAGAGAAGGCAUACAGACCAAAAGGGUCAUAGAAACAUGCGUCAUGUGCUCGGAGCACUGAGAACUUCCCAGAGUGAACACUGAGAACUAAGUAGGGACUGAUUAAAGAAUGACUGCAUUUUGUGAGUUUUGAAGGAAAAAUGCUGGUCUUCUAAUGUGGACAGUCAGACCUAGAACCAUGUGUCGAUAUCAGCUCUGCACGUCAGCACCUUCUUUGUGCUCUGUGAAGGGUGUCAUGCUUGCUUUCUUCUCAGCAGUGCUUCUAAGACAAAUGAAAAUGAUAGUGUCUGCCAAAACCUGGAAAAUACAGUCUGUAUGUUUAUUACUAGAGCUUUGCAAUGUAUUCCUCUUGGCAUUUAAAAAUUUUAUAGUACUCAACACCAAUUAUGACCUUUUGUCAAUAAAUAUUAAUUUCUCAAAAU